AGAUUAUGAUAGAAGUAGAAUGUAACAAGCGUGGAGGGACUUACACAACACAAGGCCGAUGUAUCAUGGUUGAACCUUCCAGUUCCUCUCAGAACAGCUAUUCAGGCAGUCAGAAUGGAGUAGUCUACACAAUAAGCAAGAAUGGAUGUGGC